rnacentral:rRNA from 1 species
AGGACGAACGCUGGCGGCGUGCUUAACACAUGCAAGUCAAGGGGGCCCAGCAAUGGGCAACCGGCGAACGGGUGCGUAACACGUGAGCAACCCACCGAAAUGUGGGGGAUAGCCGGCCUAACGGCCGAGUAAUACCGCAUACGCUCUCGAUGAGGCAUUUCAUUGAGAGGAAACCUACGGGACAUUUCGAGGGGCUCGCGGCCUAUCAGCUAGUUGGCGAGGUAACGGCUCACCAAGGCAACGACGGGUAGC